rnacentral:rRNA from 1 species
UACGUAGGGGGCAAGCGUUGUCCGGAAUCAUUGGGCGUAAAGAGCGCGUAGGCGGUCCGGUAAGUCCGCUGUGAAAGUCAAGGGCUCAACCCUUGAAUGCCGGUGGAUACUGUCGGGCUAGAGUCCGGAAGAGGCGAGUGGAAUUCCUGGUGUAGCGGUGAAAUUCGUAGAUAUCAGGAGGAACACCAGUGGCGAAGGCGGCUUUCUGGACGGUAACUGACGCUGAGACGCGAAAGCGUGGGGAGCAACAGG